GCAUUGGUGGGUCAGUGGUAGAAUUCUCACCUUCCAGGCAGGAGACCAGGGUUUGAUUCCUGGCCGAUGCA
rnacentral:tRNA from 1 species